UACGUAGGGUGCAAGCGUUAAUCGGAAUUACUGGGCGUAAAGCGUGCGCAGGCGGUUAUGUAAGACAGGUGUGAAAUCCCCGGGCUUAACCUGGGAACUGCAUUUGUGACUGCAUAGCUAGAGUGCGGCAGAGGGGGAUGGAAUUCCGCGUGUAGCAGUGAAAUGCGUAGAUAUGCGGAGGAACACCGAUGGCGAAGGCAAUCCCCUGGGCCUGUACUGACGCUCAUGCACGAAAGCGUGGGGAGCAAACAGG
rnacentral:rRNA from 1 species